AGCGAACGCUGGCGGCAGGCCUAACACAUGCAAGUCGAACGAACCUUUCGGGGUUAGUGGCGGACGGGUGAGUAACACGUGGGAACGUGCCUUUAGGUUCGGAAUAACUCAGGGAAACUUGAGCUAAUACCGAAUGUGCCCUUCGGGGGAAAGAUUUAUCGCCUUUAGAGCGGCCCGCGUCUGAUUAGCUAGUUGGUUGAGGUAAUGGCUCACCAAGGCGACGAUCAGUAGCUGGUCUGAGAGGAUGAUCAGCCACAUUGGGACUGAGACACGGCCCAAACUCCUACGGGAGGCAGCAGUGGGGAAUCUUGCGCAAUGGGCGAAAGCCUGACGCAGCCAUGCCGCGUGAAUGAUGAAGGUCUUAGGAUUGUAAAAUUCUUUCACCGGGGACGAUAAUGACGGUACCCGGAGAAGAAGCCCCGGCUAACUUCGUG
rnacentral:rRNA from 1 species